CGGUGGAAGCAAUUUUUUCAUUCUAGCCGGUCAACACAUCAUCAAAAUGACAUGGCAGCUGGGCAAAAGAGAACCGGUGGACUUGCUCUAAGUGUUUGGUCAGCUUUCUCCAGAAGCUGCUGUGGCUUCCGUCGAAAAGCAGAAGCGGCCUCCCCCUUGCUUUUAAAAGCCAGAAGCCAGGAAAUCACUGUGGCGCUGGUUACUGUAGAUUAAUGAAAUUUUGAUAAUACCGGUCUCUAUCCUCCCUUGGUUGAGGCAAUUACUUGAUUGCCAUUAAACCCUUCUUGAUGCCGCAGCAAUCUCUCUCCCUCUCAUCACAGACGCUGCGUCAAUCUCUGAUCACAGACGCCCCAUCAAUCUCUCUCCCUCUGACGCCGCCUCAUCUAGCCUUUCAUCACAAUUUUGGGUUGGAAAUCGAAGCCUCACUCAAGCAAGGCUGCUUGGCGAUUUGAUUCAGGUGACCUUGGAGUUCUUGGAACUGGAAUACCAAUAGGAAAACUUGAUAUGUAUGUUGCUGCAGCUGGUAUUAAUUCAGAGUCAUUGGGAGAUCAAGCGGAAUACCAAGCAACGCAGCAAGUUAUAUUAUCUUUCAUCAUGUAAAACUUAGCUAGGAAACUUGAAAAUUGAAAUGUAUGAAUGCAAUAACAAUGUUCCUUAAAUUCAGUAUUUGAUAAAUUGAUGUAUCACAAGGCUUUUGGUACAAAUAUUGAUCAUGGUUUGCAUUC